rnacentral:rRNA from 1 species
AUUGAACGCUGGCGGCAGGCUUGACACAUGCAAGUCGAGCGGGGUGAUGGUGCUUGCACUAUCACUUAGCGGCGGACGGGUGAGUAAUGCUUAGGAAUCUGCCUAUUAGUGGGGGACAACAUCUCGAAAGGGAUGCUAAUACCGCAUACGUCCUACGGGAGAAAGCAGGGGAUCACUUGUGACCUUGCGCUAAUAGAUGAGCCUAAGGCGGAUUAGCUAGUUGGUGGGGUAAAGGCCUACCAAGGCGACGAUCUGUAGCGGGUCUGAGAGGAUGAUCCGCCACACUGGGGCUGAGACACGGCCCAGACUCCUACGGGAGGCAGCAGUGGGGAAUAUUGGACAAUGGGGGUAACCCUGAUCCAGCCAUGCCGCGUGUGUGAAGAAGGCCUUAUGGUUGUAAAGCACUUUAAGCGAGGAGGAGGCUCUUUUGGUUAAUACCCAAGAUGAGUGGACGUUACUCGCAGAAUAAGCACCGGCUAACUCUGUGCCAGCCGCCGCCGUAA